rnacentral:rRNA from 1 species
AACCCCGGGAAACUGGGGAUAAUUCCGGAUAACGCAUAUUUGCUGGAAUGCUUUAUGCGUCAAAAGGAUUCGUCUGCCCUAGGAUGGGUCUGCGGCCUAUCAGGUAGUAGUGGGUGUAAUGUACCUACUAGCCAUCGACGGGUACAGGUUGUGAGAGCAAGAGCCCAGAGAUGGAUUCUGAGACAUGAAUCCAGGCCCUACGGGGCGCAGCAGGCGCGAAAACUUUACAAUGCGGGAAACCGUGAUAAGGGGACACCGAGUGCCAGCAUCAUAUGCUGGCUGUCCGGAUGUGUAAAAUACAUCCGUUAGCAAGGGCCGGGCAAGACCGGUGCCAGCCGCCGCGGUAACACCGGCGGCCCGAGUGGUGAUCGUGAUUAUUGGUUCUAAAGGGUCCGUAGCCGGUUUGGUCAGUCCUCCGGGAAAUCUGAUAGCUCAACUAUUAGGCUUUCGGGGGAUACUGCCAGACUUGGAACCGGGAGAGGUAAGAGGUACUACAGGGGUAGGAGUGAAAUCUUGUAAUCCCUGUGGGACCACCUGUGGCGAAGGCGUCUUACCAGAACGGGUUCGACGGUGAGGGACGAAAGCUGGGGGCACGAACCGGAUUAGAUACCCGGGUAGUCCCAGCCGUAAACGAUGCUCGCUAGGUGUCAGGCAUGGCGCGACCGUGUCUGGUGCCGCAGGGAAGCCGUGAAGCGAGCCACCUGGGA